AGUGAACGCUGGCGGUAGGCCUAACACAUGCAAGUCGAACGGCAGCACAGUAAGAGCUUGCUCUUACGGGUGGCGAGUGGCGGACGGGUGAGGAAUACAUCGGAAUCUACUUUUUCGUGGGGGAUAACGUAGGGAAACUUACGCUAAUACCGCAUACGACCUACGGGUGAAAGCAGGGGAUCUUCGGUCCUUGCGCGAUUGAAUGAGCCGAUGUCGGAUUAGCUAGUUGGCGGGGUAAAGGCCCACCAAGGCGACGAUCCGUAGCUGGUCUGAGAGGAUGAUCAGCCACACUGGAACUGAGACACGGUCCAGACUCCUACGGGAGGCAGCAGUGGGGAAUAUUGGACAAUGGGCGCAAGCCUGAUCCAGCCAUACCGCGUGGGUGAAGAAGGCCUUCGGGUUGUAAAGCCCUUUUGUUGGGAAAGAAAAGCAGCAGGUUAAUACCCCGCUGUUCUGACGGUACCAAAAGAAUAAGCACCGGCUAACUUCGUG
rnacentral:rRNA from 1 species